ACCAAUCACACUACCAACAACGCUUAUAUGUGAAAUGGAUAUGGGAGUGUUGGAAGAGUGUCUUUGUGUACUUGCUCAUAUCCAAAGGACUUUUCAAGUAUGGAUAAUGCAGGAUUAUGAAGUUUCAGACUCUUGGACUAAACUUUAUACCAUUACGUACGAGAGCAUACCAUGUUCUAUUCAUUUUGCAUCGAAACCUAUCGGCUCUUUUAAGGAUGGUGAGAUUCUGUUUAUGAACUUAGGUCACUUAACUUUAUAUGACCCAAAGUAUGGAGCUACGAGAAAACCAAAUUUCCGUGGUUUAAGGGUGCGGAAUGCAGUGAGUUAUUUUGAAAGCUUGGUUUCCUUAAACUCUGUUACUGCCGUGGGAAGAAGGAAGAAGAGAGAAAUCACUAGAAACAGGAACGUGUCCAAGCAUAAAGGAGGCUGAGAGGGUAUUGCUGGAUGUAAGGCAUCAGAUGGGAAGCAGAACUGAAAGAGGAGAAUGGACGUGCCAUAUUCAAGACGUAUACAUCCCAUUCAUAUGAAGCUCCAAUUUUGUGGUGCGAAUGGAUGCUUGAAUUUCUCGAGUAUAUUUGCCCCACCAGAUAUGAAGAAUAAUCAUUGUUGGACCAGCUGUUGGAUGAUGGAAAAACUUGGGCAUCCUAGGUUAUCUUCGCUCACAGAGAUGGAACAAGAGAAGCUAGCCUCAAGUUCGGAAAUUCGCAAGGACCGCAACAUAUGCAUGCACCUGGGCGUCACCAGUUUGUGGACCUCAUUGCCAAUCUCAUCUCCAAGCUUGGUUCGGGUCUGGUAAUUGCUGGUUCUGUUCAAGAAACUUCUUCCUCUUCGUUGGAAGUGCAGGAAACACA